ACAAAAUUUCAUUUGCCUCCAACACUUGAGUCAGUUUCCCACGCGAUAAUUCUCUCUCAAACCCUAGACACCACGACACCCGUCCUCCUCUUCCUUAUCCUCCACCUCCGACCAGCACCCGACUACUCUCUGCUGCAGCCACCGCCUCCACUCUCCUCCUUCUCCGCCUCCGCCUCCGCUAUCCUCCUCCUCUUCUUCCUUUGGCACACCUGUUCUCUCAUCUCUCUUCUCAAAUUCACCAGAUUCGCCAAAGACGCAGUCCACGCCGGAGCUCCGCCUUGCCCCUCCUCCUUCUCUUUUCUCCUUCCACCCCGACGGUAUCACUUUCAUCUUUAUCCUCUCAAUUUUGCUUGAAAUUCUCUUCAUGUUCAGUGCCUUUUAGAUUCCUUCGUUGUUGGUUUUCGAUAUUGCAAUGGGUGUUUGUGUAAUUUGGAGGUGAUAGAGUGAUGGGUAUUGGGUAGUCGAAAAUUUGCUGAUAAUCUGGUAGUUGUUGAUGGAGUGAUGGGUAUUUCGUUUCUGGAUUGUGUUUCUGGGUUUUGGGGGUUGUGUUUGAGGUAUAUGUAAUGGGUUUUGAGGUAGCUGUAAUGUGUUUGAGAAGCUAAGCGCCUUCUUCUUCUUCACAAAGAACUAGAAAGAGAACGGGAAGCUCUCAAGGCCUCAAUCAUCUUCUCCAGUUUCAGGCGCAGAUUUUUUGGAUGGCCACAGAAGAAUUCAAUUGCUUCGAUUCCUCUAAGAAAGGAUGAUGACGUAGAAAGCCAAAUUGGAGCAGGGUGUCUUAAUGUGAAGGUCAGAUGAAUGGUUCACCAUACCCGAGGAGAGUUGAUAUAAUCUCCAACCUAUUGCAGCUAUGUGUAACUAUUGUUGGCUUUGAAAAAGAAUGUUCAGCUGCGUUAUGAUGGCCUCCGUGCAGACAUGCAAAAGUGAAAGUUAUAGUAACAACUAAUGAUCGACUGCUAUCAUCCUCUACUGCCUAAAGCUGCUCCAUUAUAUAUAUAUUCAAGAUUGAGGAAGUACAUUCACCUAUAACGAAUAGUUCUCUUGGUCAAAGCCUCAAAACAAGUACCCAUAUCUGGGAAAUUUGUUUUGCAGUUUCUGUUUCAAUGUGUGGGUUGGUACUAUUUGCAUUUCUUAUUGGUAACAUGCAGAUACUUAGGUGCGGCAGGAUAUGCAGUUUAACUCUUGUAUGUUUGUAAUAUAUUUCACUCGAGUGACUAAUGCAGCAGCUGACACGGCAUUCGACGUCGGAGAAUUUUGUGAUGCAUUGCAGUACCUCUCUUACGACUUCAGAUCAGAAUGACAAGGAUUUGGAUCGGGCGAGUGAGAGGCAGGAUCUUGAAGGAAAGGAGCUAAAGCAAGAAACUACUUUGCAUGAACUGGAGCCGGUUGCCGUCCAUGCUCUUCAUGAAUUUGUUUCUUUAGUUCGCAGUCAUGUCAAUGCUGCAGAGCAAUAUGAUUUUGAGUAAGGCUAGAUUUUGCUGACCAUUUUGUAGUAGAUGUAGUGAUAUCAGGAUGAAUUGCGGACAAAUUAUACUGCAUGUAGUUAUUGCAGUAGUGGUAUCUUCUAGACUAUCCUUAAAGUAGGUUAGGGUUUAUUGUGCAAAACUUUUGAAGCUACCUCAAGCUCUAAUUUUGGAUAGAAAUUAAUGCAAUUACCUAAUAUUUGAAUUUCAU